AUGUCCUUGAGGUUGAGUACCACAGAAUCUGUGAUGAGCUUGGUGAAAAUGAAAGGAAAAACAAGAUUGAGAUUUCUGGUUCACUAGAAGUUAAACUGGAUUAUAUGUUGAACAAUCUGCAAGAGGCUAGAAAGAAAAGGAGGGGGAGGUGGGAUGAAUUUGUGGAUGUUAUACAAGAGUUAGAGGGUUAUUCGAGCUCCAUGCGCCCUGUUCAGUUCAGACCGUCAGCUGUUCUGCUGUCUCAUAAACCCAAUUUGUCCUUGAAACGACUCAGAGAGCUGAAGUAUUUGCUGAAGUUGUUUCAAAAGGAUAAGAAUACUCCCAGACACUUCAAAGCUAUAUACUUGUUAUGUGAUGAUCUGAAUCUUGACUUUGCGGAAGAGAUAUUCAAAAGUGACAAGGAAGAUGAUGGC